CACAGAGUGACGUCCAGAGCUCUGCUGGAGCUGUGGGGAAGUUCAUGAAUGUUAUAGUUGAUGUUUCAGAAAAAAGGAAGAUGUUUGAGAACCAACAAAACACAGACCACAGAUGAACAAAGGUGAUGUGGCACUAGGAGACUUUAUACCAGAUGCCCUCCCUGUUACUGUGUUUAGAGGAAGAAAAGCAGCACAUGAGACCAGAGCUUCACUGGAAUAAAUCUUCACACUGUCCAGCUCCAAACUGUGUGUCUCUGUCCCUGUGCUCUCUUUGUGUUUGAUUCUGUUUAAGACAAUACAGAACUGUGGAAAACUAAA